rnacentral:rRNA from 1 species
UGCAAGUCGAGCGAAUGGAUUGAGAGCUUGCUCUCAAGAAGUUAGCGGCGGACGGGUGAGUAACACGUGGGUAACCUGCCCAUAAGACUGGGAUAACUCCGGGAAACCGGGGCUAAUACCGGAUAACAUUUUGAACCGCAUGGUUCGAAAUUGAAAGGCGGCUUCGGCUGUCACUUAUGGAUGGACCCGCGUCGCAUUAGCUAGUUGGUGAGGUAACGGCUCACCAAGGCAACGAUGCGUAGCCGACCUGAGAGGGUGAUCGGCCACACUGGGACUGAGACACGGCCCAGACUCCUACGGGAGGCAGCAGUAGGGAAUCUUCCGCAAUGGACGAAAGUCUGACGGAGCAACGCCGCGUGAGUGAUGAAGGCUUUCGGGUCGUAAAACUCUGUUGUUAGGGAAGAACAAGUGCUAGUUGAAUAAGCUGGCACCUUGACGGUACCUAACCAGAAAGCCACGGCUAACUACGUGCCAGCAGCCGCGGUAAUACGUAGGUGGCAAGCGUUAUCCGGAAUUAUUGGGCGUAAAGCGCGCGCAGGUGGUUUCUUAAGUCUGAUGUGAAAGCCCACGGCUCAACCGUGGAGGGUCAUUGGAAACUGGGAGACUUGAGUGCAGAAGAGGAAAGUGGAAUUCCAUGUGUAGCGGUGAAAUGCGUAGAGAUAUGGAGGAACACCAGUGGCGAAGGCGACUUUCUGGUCUGUAACUGACACUGAGGCGCGAAAGCGUGGGGAG